rnacentral:snRNA from 1 species
GCAACCUUCGGGGUUGCACACAAUAAAAUUGGAACGAUACAGAGAAGUUGGUUUUUACCGCCACAGCCAAUGAACCGCUUAGUAAUGAUUUUUCCCACACCACCUAUAGCCUGCUAAUUACAUAAUCACGCUGAUUAGCAUGGCCCCUGCACAAGGAUGACACGCUUUUCCGGUGCUUGUCUGU